AGCGAACGCUGGCGGCAGGCCUAACACAUGCAAGUCGAACGAACCUUUCGGGGUUAGUGGCGGACGGGUGAGUAACACGUGGUAACGUGCCUUUAGGUUCGGAAUAACUCAGGGAAACUUGUGCUAAUACCGAAUGUGCCCUUCGGGGGAAAGAUUAAUCGCCUUUAGAGCGGCCCGCGUCUGAUUAGCUAGUUGGUUGAGGUAAUGGCUCAUCAAGGCGACGAUCAGUAGCUGGUCUGAGAGGAUGAUCAACCACAUUGGGACUGAGACACGGCCCAAACUCCUACGGGAGGCAGCAGUAGGGAAUCUUGCGCAAUGGGCGAAAGCCUGACGCAGCCAUGCCGCGUAAAUGAUGAAGGUCUUAGGAUUGUAAAAUUCUUUCAGCGGGGACGAUAAUGACGGUACCCGGAGAAGAAGCCCCGGCUAACUUCGUG
rnacentral:rRNA from 1 species